GUUUUUGUAGUUGAAUACAACAGUAGUUUUUCAGGCUAUUAGUCUGGGUUGAAGCCCCAGCAAGAAUU
rnacentral:tRNA from 1 species